rnacentral:rRNA from 1 species
AUACGUCCUACCGGGAGAAAGCAGGGGACCUUCGGGCCUUGCGCUAUCAGAUGAGCCUAGUCGGAUUAGCUAGUUGGUGAGGUAAUGGCUUCACCAAGGCGACGAUCCGUAACUGGUCUGAGAGGAUGAUCAGUCACACUGGAACUGAGACACGGUCCAGACUCCUACGGGAGGCAGCAGUGGGGAAUAUUGGACAAUGGGCGAAAGCCUGAUCCAGCCAUGCCGCGUGUGUGAAGAAGGUCUUCGGAUUGUAAAGCACUUUAAGUUGGAGGAAGGUUGUAGAUUAAUACUCUGCAAUUUUGACGUUACCGACAGAAUAAGCACCGGCUAACUCUGU